rnacentral:rRNA from 1 species
UACGUAGGGGGCAAGCGUUGUCCGGAUUUAUUGGGCGUAAAGAGCGUGUAGGCGGUUUGGUAGGUCCGUUGUGAAAACUCGAGGCUCAACCUCGAGACGCCGAUGGAAACCAUCAGACUAGAGUCCGGAAGAGGAGAGUGGAAUUCCUGGUGUAGCGGUGAAAUGCGCAGAUAUCAGGAGGAACACCGGUGGCGAAGGCGGGUCUCUGGGCCGAUACUGACGCUGAGGAGCGAAAGCCAGGGGAGCGAACGGG